GAUGAGCGCUAGCGGCAGGCCUAACACAUGCAAGUCGAGGGGUAGCAGGAUUAAGCUUGCUUAAUUGCUGACGACCGGCGCACGGGUGCGUAACGCGUAUGCAACCUACCUUAUACUGGGGUAUAGCCCGGAGAAAUUCGGAUUAAUCCCCCAUAGUACUAAUGAAUCGCAUGGUUUAUUAGUUAAAGCAUUGUGGUAUAAGAUGGGCAUGCGUCCUAUUAGCUAGAUGGUGAGGUAUCGGCGCACCAUGGCUACGAUAGGUAGGGGGCCUGAGAGGGUGGUCCCCCACACUGGUACUGAGACACGGACCAGACUCCUACGGGAGGCAGCAGUGAGGAAUAUUGGUCAAUGGGCGCAAGCCUGAACCAGCCAUGCCGCGUGCAGGAAGAAUGCCCUAUGGGUUGUAAACUGCUUUUAUUUGGGAAUAAACCUCUUUACGUGUAGAGAGCUGAAGGUACCAAAUGAAUAAGCACCGGCUAACUCCGUGCCAGCCGCCGCCGUAA
rnacentral:rRNA from 1 species